rnacentral:lncRNA from 1 species
CUCACCACAGUGACGGCGUCAUUGAGCAAGGACUCCCCAAAAACAAGGAUGUGCAGCAGCUCAUUGAUGUGAAUUUCCUCAAAGACAGCCAGAACCGCCACGGGGUCCACGGCCGAGAUGAUGCUGCCGAAGAGCAGGUUGUCCAGGAGGCCGAUGUUGUUGAUCUGCUCACCGCCCACCAGGCACACGGCGUACAUGAGGCCGCCCAGGAAGAAGGCGUUCCACAGCGUGCCCACCACGGCAAAGAUCAGGAUGGUGCCCAGGUUUUCUGUGAACUGCCGCAGUGGCAGGAAGUAGCCCGCAUCCAGGAUGAUGGGCGGCAGCAGGAAGAGGAAGAAGACGUCGGACUGCAGGAAGGGGGGUGUCUCGCCUACACCCUUGAUCAGGCCCCCCACCAGCAGCCCCACCACGAUCAGCAGGCAGCUCUCCGGGACGAUGCUUGAGAUA